GACGAACGCUGGCGGCGUGCUUAACACAUGCAAGUCGAACGGAAAGGCCCUGCUUUUGUGGGGUGCUCGAGUGGCGAACGGGUGAGUAACACGUGAGUAACCUGCCCUUGACUUUGGGAUAACUUCAGGAAACUGGGGCUAAUACCGGAUAGGAGCUCCUGCUGCAUGGUGGGGGUUGGAAAGUUUCGGCGGUUGGGGAUGGACUCGCGGCCUAUCAGCUUGUUGGUGGGGUAGUGGCUUACCAAGGCUUUGACGGGUAGCCGGCCUGAGAGGGUGACCGGCCAACUUGGGGGUGGGGAGAGGCCCCGGCCCCCAAGGGGGGGCGGAGGGGGGAAAUUUGGAACAAGGGGGGGAGGCUGGAGCCGGCAGCCCCGGGGGGGGAGGGCGGGCUUGGGGUUUUAAACCCCUUUCCGCUUGGAAGAAGGGGGGGGGGGGGGAAUGGGAUAAGAAGACCCGGGCUAACUCGGGC
rnacentral:rRNA from 1 species